rnacentral:rRNA from 1 species
UGGACCUCAGAUCAGGCAAGAUCACCCGCUGAGUUUAAGCAUAUCACUAAGCGGAGGAAAAGAAACUAACGAGGAUU